rnacentral:rRNA from 1 species
GAUGAACGCUGGCGGCGUGCCUAAUACAUGCAAGUCGAGCGAACAGACGAGGAGCUUGCUCCUCUGACGUUAGCGGCGGACGGGUGAGUAACACGUGGAUAACCUACCUAUAAGACUGGGAUAACUUCGGGAAACCGGAGCUAAUACCGGAUAAUAUAUUGAACCGCAUGGUUCAAUAGUGAAAGACGGUUUUGCUGUCACUUAUAGAUGGAUCCGCGCCGCAUUAGCUAGUUGGUAAGGUAACAGCUUACCAAGGCAACGAUGCGUAGCCGACCUGAGAGGGUGAUCGGCCACACUGGAACUGAGACACGGUCCAGACUCCUACGGGAGGCAGCAGUAGGGAAUCUUCCGCAAUGGGCGAAAGCCUGACGGAGCAACGCCGCGUGAGUGAUGAAGGUCUUCGGAUCGUAAAACUCUGUUAUUAGGGAAGAACAAAUGUGUAAGUAACUAUGCACGUCUUGACGGUGCCUAAUCAGAAAGCCACGGCUAGCUACGUG